CCUACGGGCGGCUGCAGUAGGGAAUAUUGGACAAUGGGGGGAACCCUGAUCCAGCCAUGCCGCGUGUGUGAAGAAGGCCCUCGGGUUGUAAAGCACUUUCAGUGAGGAAGAACGCCUGGUGGUUAAUACCCAUCAGGAAAGACAUCACUCACAGAAGAAGCACCGGCUAACUCCGUGCCAGCAGCCGCGGUAAUACGGAGGGUGCGAGCGUUAAUCGGAAUUACUGGGCGUAAAGCGCGCGUAGGUGGCUUGAUAAGCCGGUUGUGAAAGCCCCGGGCUCAACCUGGGAACGGCAUCCGGAACUGUCAAGCUAGAGUGCAGGAGAGGAAGGUAGAAUUCCCGGUGUAGCGGUGAAAUGCGUAGAGAUCGGGAGGAAUACCAGUGGCGAAGGCGGCCUUCUGGACUGACACUGACACUGAGGUGCGAAAGCGUGGGUAGCAAACAGGAUUAGAUACCCUUGUAGUC
rnacentral:rRNA from 1 species